rnacentral:rRNA from 1 species
AGAUCAAACUGAUGGUCGUGCCUUGGUACGUACUGGCAUUAUUGAUUUCUCCCUUCUGAAGAACCACGAUGUCAUUAAUUUAGUGUCUUGGGGAAUCAGGACUGUUACUUUGAAAAAAUUAGAGUGUUUAAAGCAGGCUCACGCUUGAAUACAUUAGCAUGGAAUAAUGAAGUAGGACGUUUGAUUCUAUUUUGUUGGUUUCUAGGAUUGACGUA